AUUCCUAGUGUAGAGGUGAAAUUCGUAAAUAUUAGGAGGAACACCAGUGGCGAAGGCGUCUAUCUGGUUCAAAUCUGACGCUGAGGCGCGAAGGCGUGGGGAGCAAACAGGAUUAGAUACCNUGGUAGUCCACGCUGUAAACGAUGAAUGUUAAAUAUGGGAAGUUUUACUUUCUGUAUUACAGCUAACGCGUUAAACAUUCCGCCUGGGGACUACGGUCGCAAGAUUAAAACUCAAAGGAAUUGACGGGGACCCGCACAAGCGGUGGAGCAUGUGGUUUAAUUCGAUGCAACGCGAAAAACCUUACCACUCCUUGACAUGGAAAUUAUACCUAUUCGAAGGGAUAGGGUCGGUUCGUCCGGGUUUCACACAGGUGUUGCAUGGCUGUCGUCAGCUCGUGUCGUGAGAUGUUGGGUUAAGUCCCGCAACGAGCGCAACCCUCAUCCUUAGUUACCAUCAGGUAAUGCUGGGGACUUUAAGGAAACUGCCAGUGAUAAACUGGAGGAAGGUGGGGAUGAUGUCAAGUCAUCAUGGCCCUUAUGGAGUGGGCUACACACGUGCUACAAUGGUGGCUACAAUGGGCUGCAAAGUCGCGAGGCUAAGCUAAUCCCUUAAAAGCCAUCUCAGUUCGGAUUGUACUCUGCAACUCGAGUGCAUGAAGUUGGAAUCGCUAGUAAUCGUGGAUCAGCACGCCACGGUGAAUACGUUCUCGGGUCUUGUACACACUGCCCGUCACGCCAUGGGAAUUGGUUUCACUCGAAGCUAACGACCUAACCGCAAGGAGGGAGUUAUUUAAAGUGGGAUCGGUGACUGGGGUGAAGUCGUAACAAGGUAGCAGUAGGGGAAUCUGCGGCUGGAUCA
rnacentral:rRNA from 1 species